GACGAACGCUGGCGGCGUGCUUAACACAUGCAAGUCGAACGGAAAGGCCCUGCUUUUGUGGGGUGCUCGAGUGGCGAACGGGUGAGUAACACGUGAGUAACCUGCCCUUGACUUUGGGAUAACUUCAGGAAACUGGGGCUAAUACCGGAUAGGAGCUCCUGCUGCAUGGUGGGGGUUGGAAAGUUUCGGCGGUUGGGGAUGGACUCGCGGCUUAUCAGCUUGUUGGUGGGGUAGUGGCUUACCAAGGCUUUGACGGGUAGCCGGCCUGAGAGGGUGACCGGCCACAGGGGGAGGGAGUUCGGGCCCGGCCUCGGCCGGGAGACGGAGGGGGGAAUGAUGGACCAUGGGCGGGAGGCUGAACGCGCAACGCCCCGGUGGGGGAGGGGGGCUUGGGGUUGGUAAACCGUUUCCGCCGGUGACGAGGGGGGAGUGACGGUAAGGGGAAAAGAAGCCCGGGCUAACUACGUG
rnacentral:rRNA from 1 species